rnacentral:rRNA from 1 species
GAUAUAAGUCAAGCUACUAAGGGCAUACGGUGGAUGCCUUGGCACUAAGAGCCGAUGAAGGACGCGGUAAGCUGCGAAAAGCCACGGGGAACUGCAAGCAAGUCUUGAUCCGUGGAUGUCCGAAUGGGGAAACCCACCAUCCGUCAUGGGAUGGUAUCCUACGGGAGGGGAACCCGGUGAACUGAAACAUCUAAGUAGCCGGAGGAAGAGAAAUCAAACGAGAUGCCCACAGUAGCGGCGAGCGAAGAGGGCAGAGCCUAAACCAGUCAUCUUCGGAUGGUUGGGGUUACGGACCUGCAUCAACCGAGUCCUACCUAGUCGAAUUACCUGGAAAGGUAAGCCAGAGAGCGUAAGAGCCGCGUAGGUGAAAGGAAGGACGAGGGGGCAGGGAUCCAGAGUACCACGAAGCACGAGGAAUUUUGUGGGAAGUCGGGGGGACCACCCUCCAAGGCUAAACACUUCUUAGUGACCGAUAGCGCAUAGUACCGUGAGGGAAAGGUGAAAAGAACCGCGGGAGCGGAGUGAAAGAGAACCUGAAACCGUAUGUCUACAAGCAGUCGGAGCGCAAGCGACGGCGUGCCUAUUGAAGAAUGAGCCAACGAGUUACGGGCACCAGCGAGGUUAAGCAGGAAAUGCGGAGCCGGAGCGAAAGCGAGUCUAAACAGGGCGAAUAGUUGGUGUUCGUAGACCCGAAACUGUAGUGAUCUACCCAUGAUCAGGUUGAAGCGCAGGUAAAAAUGCGUGGAGGACCGAACCGGUGAGCGUUGAAAAGCUUUCGGAUGAAUCGUGGGUAGCGGUGAAAUUCCAAUCGAACGCAGAGAUAGCUGGUUCUCCUCGAAAUAGCUUUAGGGCUAGCCUCAAGCAGUAAGCAUAGGCGGUAGAGCACUGAUCGGGAUAGGGUCCGUAAAGGAUACCGAACCCUGUCAAACUACGAAUGGUUAUGCUGCAGAGCUUGGGAGUCAGACUACGAGAGAUAAGUCCCGUUGUCAAAAGGGAAACAGCCCAGACCGUCAGCUAAGGUCCCCAAUGCCAUACUAAGUGGAAAAGGAUGUGGGGUCUCAUAAACAACCAGGAUGUUGGCUCAGAAGCAGCCACCAUUUAAAGAGUGCGUAAUAGCUCACUGGUCGAGAGGCCCUGCGCCGAAGAUUCCCGGGGCUAAAGUAUGGAACCGAAGCUACGGAUGCGGUACUUGUACCGCGUGGUAGAGGAGCGUUCCCAUUGGGUUGAAGUCGUCCUGGAAGGGACGGUGGACUGGUGGGAAGUGAGAAUGUUGGCAUGAGUAGCGAAAAGAUAGGUGAGAAUCCUAUCCACCGAAAGCAUAAGGAUUCCUGAGCAACGAUCGUCGUCUCAGGGUAAGUCGGGACCUAAUCCGAGGCAUGGAGCGUAGGAGAUGGACAACUGGUUGAUAUUCCAGUACCGGCAGCAAUCGUUUGAACGAUGGAGUGACGCAGGAAGGCAGGUCCGCGCGAGAAUGGUAGAUCGCGUACAAGCGUGCAGGCUGGUGCACAGGCAAAUCCGUGUACUGAGGCUGAGGCGUGAUGUGGAGGGAACUUGUUCCCGAAGGGAUUGAGCCUACGCUGCCGAGAAAAGCUUCUAGUGAGAAAGCUGCCGCCCGUACCGUAAACCGACACAGGUAUGCGGGGAGAGAAUCCUAAGGUGCGCGGGAGAACCCUCGUUAAGGAACUCGGCAAAAUGUACCCGUAACUUCGGGAUAAGGGUAGCCACAGUGGUGAAGGGACUUGCUCCUGGAGCCUAGUGUGGUCGCAGAGAAGAGGCCCAAGCGACUGUUAACCAGAAACACAGGUGCCUGCGAAAGAGAAAUCUGAUGUAUAGGUGCUGACACCUGCCCAGUGCUGGAAGGUUAAAGAAGGAUGUCCGGGUUCGACCCAAAGCAUUUGACUGAAGCCCCAGUGAACGGCGGCCGUAACUAUAACGGUCCUAAGGUAGCGAAAUUCCUUGUCGGGUAAGUUCCGACCCGCACGAAAGGUGUAACGAUUUGGGCACUGUCUCAACGAGGGACCCGGUGAAAUUGAAAUACCUGUGAAGAUGCAGGUUACCCGCGACUGGACAGAAAGACCCCAUGGAGCUUUACUGUAACCUAAUAUUGGGUUCUGAUAUUCGACGCACAGGAUAGGUGGGAGGCUUGGAGCAUGGUCCUCUGGGAUCAUGGGAGCCGCCGUUGGGAUACCACCCUUCGAAUAUCGGGAUUCUAACCGCAGGAGCAACGAUCCUCGGGACAGUGUUAGGCGGGCAGUUUGACUGGGGCGGUCGCCUCCUAAAGAGUAACGGAGGCGCCCAAAGGUUCCCUCAGCGCGGACGGAAACCGCGCGACGAGUGUAAAGGCAGAAGGGAGCUUGACUGCGAGCCAAACACGGCGAGCAGGUACGAAAGUAGGGCUUAGUGAUCCGGUGGCAUCCAAGUGGAAGGGCCAUCGCUCAACGGAUAAAAGCUACCCUGGGGAUAACAGGCUAAUCUCUCCCAAGAGUCCAUAUCGACGGGGAGGUUUGGCACCUCGAUGUCGGCUCAUCACAUCCUGGGGCUGAAGUCGGUCCCAAGGGCUGGGCUGUUCGCCCAUUAAAGUGGUACGUGAGCUGGGUUCAGAACGUCGUGAGACAGUUCGGUCCCUAUCCAUCGCGGGCGUAAGAGAUUUGAAGGGGGCUGCUCCUAGUACGAGAGGACCGGAGUGGACGGACCGCUGGUGUACCAAUUAUCCUGCCAAGGGUAUAGUUGGGUAGCUACGUCCGGAACGGAUAAACGCUGAAAGCAUCUAAGCGUGAAACCAUCCUUAAGAUGAGAUCUCUCAUAGAGUAAUCUAGUAAGACACCUUGAAGAUUACAAGGUUGAUAGGCAGGAUGUGUAAGCACAGCAAUGUGUUAAGCUGACCUGUACUAAUAUGUCGAGGGCUUGACUUA